rnacentral:rRNA from 1 species
UACGCGAGCUGGGUUUAGAACGUCGUGAGACAGUUCGGUCCCUAUCUGCCGUGGGCGUUGGAAGAUUGAGAGGGGUUGCUCCUAGUACGAGAGGACCGGAGUGAACGCACCACUGGUGUUCGGGUUGUCAUGCCAAUGGCAUUGCCCGGUAGCUAAGUGCGGAAAAGAUAAGCGCUGAAAGCAUCUAAGCGCGAAACUUGCCUCAAGAUGAGUCUUCCCUGGGCCUUUAAGGCCCCUGAAGGAACGUUUAAGACUAAGACGUUGAUAGGCUGGGUGUGUAAGUGCAGCGAUGCAUUGAGCUAACCAGUACUAAUGAUCCGUGAGGCUUAACCUU